GACUGCUAACACCGGAUAUGCUCCCAGCCUGGCAUCAGGCAGAGAGGAAAGUUUACACUAGAGGAUGAGCCCGCGUAACAUUAGCUAGUUGGUAGGGUAACGGCCUACCAAGGCUGCGAUGUUUAGGGGUCCUGAGAGGGUGAUCCCCCACACUGGUACUGAGACACGGACCAGACUCCUACGGGAGGCAGCAGUGAGGAAUAUUGGUCAAUGGGCGCAAGCCUGAACCAGCCAUCCCGCGUGAAGGAAGAAGGCGCUAUGCGUUGUAAACUUCUUUUGCAGGAGAAGAAUGUUAUCUACGAGUAGGUAAUUGCCGGUAUCCUGUGAAUAAGCAUCGGCUAACUCCGUGCCAGCAGCCGCGGUAAUACGGAGGAUGCGAGCGUUAUCCGGAUUUAUUGGGUUUAAAGGGUGCGUAGGCGGAUUGAUAAGUCAGUGGUGAAAUACUGCAGCUUAACUGUAGAAUUGCCGUUGAUACUGUCAGUCUUGAGUAUGGUUAAGGUAGGCGGAAUGUGUAGUGUAGCGGUGAAAUGCUUAGAUAUUACACAGAACACCGAUUGCGAAGGCAGCUUACUGAACCAUAACUGACGCUGAGGCACGAAAGCGUGGGAGCGAACAGGAUUAGAUACCCUGGUAGUCCACGCCGUAAACGAUGAUCACUCGCUGUUAGCGAUACACUGUUAGCGGCUAACAAAAGCAUUAAGUGAUCCGCUGGGGAGUACGGCCGCAGGCUGAAACUCAAGGAAUUGACGGGGCCC
rnacentral:rRNA from 1 species